rnacentral:rRNA from 1 species
AUUGAACGCUGGCGGCAUGCUUUACACAUGCAAGUCGAACGGUAACAGGGUGCUUGCACCGCUGACGAGUGGCGAACGGGUGAGUAAUGCGUCGGAACGUGCCGAGUAGUGGGGGAUAACGCAGCGAAAGUUGUGCUAAUACCGCAUACGUACUGAGGUAGAAAGUGGGGGACCUUCGGGCCUCACGCUAUUCGAGCGGCCGACGUCUGAUUAGCUAGUAGGUGAGGUAAAGGCUCACCUAGGCGACGAUCAGUAGCGGGUCUGAGAGGAUGAUCCGCCACACUGGGACGGAGACACGGCCCAGACUCCUACGGGAGGCAGCAGUGGGGAAUUUUGGACAAUGGGCGAAAGCCUGAUCCAGCCAUGCCGCGUGUCUGAAGAAGGCCUUCGGGUUGUAAAGGACUUUUGUCAGGGAGGAAAUCCCUAGUGCUAAUAACACUGGGGGAUGACAGUACCUGAAGAAUAAGCACCGGCUAACUACGUGCCAGCCGCCGCCGUAA